CACGUAGGGCGCAAGCGUUGUCCGGAAUUAUUGGGCGUAAAGAGCUCGUAGGCGGUCUGUUGCGUCCGCUGUGAAAACCCGGGGCUUAACCCCUGGCUUGCAGUGGAUACGGACAGACUAGAGGUAGGUAGGGGAGAAUGGAAUUCCCGGUGUAGCGGUGAAAUGCGCAGAUAUCGGGAGGAACACCAGUGGCGAAGGCGGCUCACUGGCCCGGUACUGACGCUGAGGCGCGAAAGCUAGGGGAGCAAACGGG
rnacentral:rRNA from 1 species